rnacentral:rRNA from 1 species
UACGUAGGGUGCAAGCGUUAUCCAGAUUUACUGGGCGUAAAGCGCGUGUAGGCGGCUGGUUAGGUGUGAUGUGAAAUCCUCGGGCUCAACCCGAGAACUGCAUUGCAAACCGGCCUGGCUAGAGUGCAGGAGAGGGAAGCGGAAUUCCAGGUGUAGCGGUGAAAUGCGUAGAUAUCUGGAGGAACACCGGUGGCGAAGGCGGCGUUCUGGACUGCAACUGACACUGAGGAACGAAAGCCAGGGGAGCAAACGGG